GGGAAGGUGGCUCAGUGGUAGAGUACUUGCCUCACAUGCAUGAAGACCUGGGUUUGAUUCCUCUAUACCA
rnacentral:tRNA from 1 species